rnacentral:rRNA from 1 species
GAUGAACGCUAGCGGCAGGCUUAAUACAUGCAAGUCGUGGGGCAGCGCAGUGUAGCAAUACAUGGGCGGCGACCGGCAAACGGGUGCGUAACACGUACGCAACCUUCCCGUUACUGGGGAAUAGCCCAGGGAAACUUGGAUUAAUACCCCAUAUUAUAUUGAUUGGGCAUCUAAUUAAUAUCAAAGCUUCGGCGGUAACGGAUGGGCGUGCGGUUGAUUAGGUAGUUGGCGGGGUAACGGCCCACCAAGCCUACGAUCAAUAGCUGAUGUGAGGGCAUGAUCAGCCACACGGGCACUGAGACACGGGCCCGACUCCGACGGGAGGCAGCAGUAAGGAAUAUUGGGCAAUGGACGAAAGUCUGACCCAGCCAUGCCGCGUGGAGGAUGAAGGUCCUCUGGAUUGUAAACUUCUUUUUUCUGGGGCGAAAACCGGUUUUUCUAAACCAUUUGACAGUACCAGAAGAAUAAGCACCGGCUAACUCCGUGCCAGCAGCCGCCGUAAAAC